AAAUUGAAGAGUUUGAUCAUGGCUCAGAUUGAACGCUGGCGGCAGGCCUAACACAUGCAAGUCGAGCGGUAGCACAGAGAGCUUGCUCUCGGGUGACGAGCGGCGGACGGGUGAGUAAUGUCUGGGAAACUGCCUGAUGGAGGGGGAUAACUACUGGAAACGGUAGCUAAUACCGCAUAACGUCGCAAGACCAAAGUGGGGGACCUUCGGGCCUCAUGCCAUCAGAUGUGCCCAGAUGGGAUUAGCUAGUAGGUGGGGUAACGGCUCACCUAGGCGACGAUCCCUAGCUGGUCUGAGAGGAUGACCAGCCACACUGGAACUGAGACACGGUCCAGACUCCUACGGGAGGCAGCAGUGGGGAAUAUUGCACAAUGGGCGCAAGCCUGAUGCAGCCAUGCCGCGUGUGUGAAGAAGGCCUUCGGGUUGUAAAGCACUUUCAGCGGGGAGGAAGGCGGUGAGGUUAAUAACCUCACCGAUUGACGUUACCCGCAGAAGAAGCACCGGCUAACUCCGUGCCAGCAGCCGCGGUAAUACGGAGGGUGCAAGCGUUAAUCGGAAUUACUGGGCGUAAAGCGCACGCAGGCGGUCUGUCAAGUCGGAUGUGAAAUCCCCGGGCUCAACCUGGGAACUGCAUUCGAAACUGGCAGGCUAGAGUCUUGUAGAGGGGGGUAGAAUUCCAGGUGUAGCGGUGAAAUGCGUAGAGAUCUGGAGGAAUACCGGUGGCGAAGGCGGCCCCCUGGACAAAGACUGACGCUCAGGUGCGAAAGCGUGGGGAGCAAACAGGAUUAGAUACCCUGGUAGUCCACGCCGUAAACGAUGUCGAUUUGGAGGUUGUGCCCUUGAGGCGUGGCUUCCGGAGCUAACGCGUUAAAUCGACCGCCUGGGGAGUACGGCCGCAAGGUUAAAACUCAAAUGAAUUGACGGGGGCCCGCACAAGCGGUGGAGCAUGUGGUUUAAUUCGAUGCAACGCGAAGAACCUUACCUGGUCUUGACAUCCACAGAACUUUCCAGAGAUGGAUUGGUGCCUUCGGGAACUGUGAGACAGGUGCUGCAUGGCUGUCGUCAGCUCGUGUUGUGAAAUGUUGGGUUAAGUCCCGCAACGAGCGCAACCCUUAUCCUUUGUUGCCAGCGGUCCGGCCGGGAACUCAAAGGAGACUGCCAGUGAUAAACUGGAGGAAGGUGGGGAUGACGUCAAGUCAUCAUGGCCCUUACGACCAGGGCUACACACGUGCUACAAUGGCAUAUACAAAGAGAAGCGACCUCGCGAGAGCAAGCGGACCUCAUAAAGUAUGUCGUAGUCCGGAUUGGAGUCUGCAACUCGACUCCAUGAAGUCGGAAUCGCUAGUAAUCGUAGAUCAGAAUGCUACGGUGAAUACGUUCCCGGGCCUUGUACACACCGCCCGUCACACCAUGGGAGUGGGUUGCAAAAGAAGUAGGUAGCUUAACCUUCGGGAGGGCGCUUACCACUUUGUGAUUCAUGACUGGGGUGAAGUCGUAACAAGGUAACCGUAGGGGAACCUGCGGUUGGAUCACCUCCUUA
rnacentral:rRNA from 5 species